rnacentral:lncRNA from 1 species
AUGAUCGAAUCCAUAGAUGGCAAAGUGGCAAUUCCUCUUCCACCACUUAUUGAGUGUAGUGACAUCCCAAAUAAUCGCACAGAGAUUCCAACUCCAAAUGCUGUGAUUCAUCAGCCCCAUCUACAACAUAUCGCUAAACAUCUCCCAGAACUUGACUCGAAUGCAGAGAUCUUACUUCUUCUGGGUAGAGAUGUAUUAAGACUACACAAAGUAAGACAGCAGGUAAACGGGCCAUACAAUGCACCGUUUGCGCAACGUUUGGACCUUGGCUGGGUAGUAAUAGGAGAAGCGUGCCUAGGAAACAUUCAUAAGCCAAUCAUCAGCAACUUCAAGACCACCGUGCUGGAAAGUGGCCGUCACUCCAUCUUCCGGCCAUGCACAAGUUACAUGCAGAUAAAGGAAUCAUUACCCAACCUCAACCAAGCCCCUAAGAUAACAGAGGAAACACUAGGAAAAACAGUGUUCAACAGAACUGAUCAAGACAACAGACCUGCUCCAUCAAUCGAAGAUGCAAUGUUUAUGGAAAAGAUGGAUACUGAAGUCUACCGAAACAGUAAGAAUACCUGGGUAGCACCACUUCCGUUUAAGGAGCCACGACCGCACCUUCCUAACAAUAAAGAGCAGGCUGUUAAGAGAUUCAUGUCACUGCAGAAAAUGCUCAGACGGAACCCCGUAAUGCAGAAACAGUACUUUGCAUUCAUGGACAAAAUCUUUCAAAAUGGACACACUGAAGUAGCACCACCACUAAGGGACAAUGAGGAAUGCUGGUUCCUUCCUACAUUUGGAGUAUAUCAUCCUCGGAAGCCCGACCAGAUUAGGGUGGUGUUCGAUUCAAGCUCACAAUACCAAGGAAUCUCCCUAAAUGAUGUAUUACUGACUGGCCCAGAUUUAAACAACACGUUGAUCGGUGUUCUGCUCCGCUUUCACAAGGAGAAAGUAGCCGUGUUAGCAGACAUCCAGCAAAUGUUCUACUGUUUUGAGGUAAGCGAGAACCAUCAAAACUUUCUUAGAUUCCUGUGGUACGAAGAAAAUGAUAUCAAGAAAAACAUCAUUGACUAUCGAAUGAAAGUUCAUGUUUUCGGCAAUAGUCCUUUGCCUGCCGUCGCCAUCUACGGGCUGAGAAGAGCCAUUAGAGAAGGUGCACCACAUUAUGGCGAUGAUACUGUUCAGUUUGUGGAAAGGCAUUUCUAUGUCGAUGAUGGUCUCAUAUCUGUACCAACUGAUCAUGAAGCAAUUGACCUGCUUAAAAGGACACAGGCCUCUCUAGCGGAAUCAAACCUUCGCCUUCACAAGUUCACCACAAACAGUCAAAACGUCUUAAAGGCCUUAUCCCCAGAACACUGUGUAACAACUGUCAAGGACUUAGACCUCAGCGGAGAGACACAAUCCAUCCAGCGCAGUUUGGGCCUCCUGUGGGAGAUAUCGACAGACACCUUUACCUUUUCUGUAUCAACAGCUACAAAGCCCUUCACUCGUCGUGGUGUGUUAUCCACUGUACACAGCAUUUUUGACCCUCUAGGUCUGCUGGACCCUGUCACUGUCUGUGGGAGAGCCCUUCUUGGAGAGCUUACGGCUGACCUCUCCGAUUGGGACACUCCUCUCCCAGAAGAAAAACGUGAUAAGUGGGACUUAUGGUGCGAAUCGCUUCACGAUCUCAAGCAGAUGCACAUACCACGAACCUAUACGGACAUGUCACUUUGCAACAGUGAGCACAUUGAGCUUAGUGUGUUCUCAGACGCCUCGACAAAGGCGAUUGGAGCCGUUGCAUAUCUCAAGACUGUUCAAAAAGAUGGUCACACUGAGAUCGGAUUUGUCAUGGCUAAAGGACGGUUAACACCCAAAUCCGAACCUACCAUCCCACGUCUAGAACUCUGUGCGGCUGUUUUAGCUGUUGAGUUGGCGGAUCUCAUCCAAGAGGAGCUAGAUGUAAAGUUUGAUAAGGUUAAUUUCUACAGUGACAGCAAGGUAGUACACGGAUACAUCCAUAAUACCACUAAAAGGUUCUAUGUCUAUGUGCACCACAGGAUUCAGCUUAUACGCCACUCUUCCAAACCAGAACAAUGGCACUAUGUUCCCUCUGAAGAAAAUCCCGUGGAUCACAUUUCAAGAUUCCUGCCCGCCUCUUGUCUAGCGCAAACAACCUGGUUCUUUGGACCAUCAUUCCUACGAAAUACCCCUGGAGAAAGCAAGCACAUAUGUGAAAGAUUUGACUUAAUACAACCGGAAAAGGACAUUGAAAUCAGGCCAGAAAUAAAAACUUACAGCACACACCUGAUGGAGAACAUAUUCAAUCCAGAUCGCUUCCAGCGCUUCUCUAGUCUUCAUUCACUCCUUAGAGCUGUUGCAUGCCUGACUCACAUAGCUAAAUCCUGCAAACAAUCGGGCAAAGUUAGGGCGUGCAAAGGGUGGCACUGGUGUAAACAACCACGUUCACCCGAGGAACUUGACCAAGCUAUGUAUGUUAUCCUCGAAGCUGCACAAAGAUCUACCUUCCAAAAGGAACUUGUGGCUCUGCAGGCUAAAAAGCCCAUUCCAAAGGAUAGCUGUCUCCAAAAGCUUAGCCCAAUCAUCACUGAUGGCUUGAUUCGCAUUGGAGGCCAGCUACAACAUUCAAACUUAGAAACUAAUGAAAGGCAUCCUGUGAUUUUGCCCAAGAACAGCCAUGUAGCUUUACUGCUGACACGCCAUCACCAUGAGCAAGUGAAACAUCAGGGACGCCACUUCACGGAGGGAGCCAUACGAGCAGCAGGAUACUGGAUCUUGGGUGGCAAAAGGCUCAUCAACACAGUCAUUCAUAACUGUGUGACGUGCAGGAAGCUUAGAGGUAAAGUUGAGGAACAAUACAUGGCAGACUUACCUACAGAGCGUCUCCAAAUAUGCCCUCCAUUCACCUAUGUUGGACUAGAUGUUUUUGGUCCGUGGAUGGUUACUGCUAGGAGGACCCGUGGAGGACACGCAGAAAGUAAAAGAUGA